rnacentral:rRNA from 1 species
UAAAUACUACCUGAUGACCGAUAGAGGAGCAGUACCGUGAGGGAAAGGUGAAAAGAACCCCGGGAGGGGAGUGAAAUAGUACCUGAAACCGUAUGUCUACAAGCAGUCGAAGCGAAAGCGACGGCGUGCCUAUUGAAGAAUGAACCAACGAGUUAUCUGCACUAGCGAGGUUAAGUGGAAGACACGGAGCCGCAGCGAAAGCGAGUCUUAAGAGGGCGCUAGUUAGUGUAGGUAGACCCGAAACCGCAGUGAUCUACCCAUGUCCAGGUUGAAGCGCAGGUAAAAUUGCGUGGAGGACCGAACCGGUGAGCGUUGAAAAGCUUUCGGAUGAGAUGUGGGUAGGGGUGAAAUUCCAAUCGAACGCGGAGAUAGCUGGUUCUCCCCGAAAUAGCUUUAGGGCUAGCCUGAGGUAGUAAGUAUAGGCGGUAGAGCACUGAUCGGGCUAGGGGCCGUAAAGGUUACCGAACCCUGUCAAACUCCGAAUGGAUAUACUGUAGAGCCUUGGAGUCAGACUACGAGUGAUAAGAUCCGUGGUCAAAAGGGAAACAGCCCAGACCACCAGCUAAGGUCCCCAAUGUCGUACUAAGUGGAAAAGGAUGUGGGGUUUCAUAAACAACCAGGAUGUUGGCUCAGAAGCAGCCACCAUUUAAAGAGUGCGUAAUAGCUCACUGGUCGAGAGACCCUGCGCCGAAGAUUCCCGGGGCUAAAGUACGAAACCGAAGCUGUGGCUGUAUACGUAAAGUAUACGGGGUAGGGGAGCGUUCCCAUAGGGUAGAAGUCGAACUGGAAGGUUCGGUGGACUUGUGGGAAGUGAGAAUGUUGGUAUGAGUAGCGAAAAGAAAGGUGAGAAUCCUUUCCACCGAAAGCAUAAGGAUUCCUGAGCAACGAUCGUCGUCUCAGGGUAAGUCGGGACCUAAUCCGAGGCAGAGAGCGUAGGAGAUGGACAACUGGUUGAUAUUCCAGUACCGGUAGUAAUUGUUUGAGCAAUGGAGUGACACAGAAGGGCAGGCAAGCAUGCGAAUGGAAGAGCAUGUGUAAGCGUGUAGGGUGGUGCAUAGGCAAAUCCGUGCACUGAAAGCCUGAGGCGUGAUGCGGAGUGAGCAGAGAUGCGAGCGAAGUUGUUGACCCCACACUGUCGAGAAAAGCUUCUAGUGAGAGAGCUACCGCCCGUACCGUAAACCGACACAGGUAUGCGGGGAGAGAAUCCUAAGGUGCGCGGGAGAACCCUCGUUAAGGAACUCGGCAAAAUGUACCCGUAACUUCGGGAUAAGGGUAGCCACUGUUGUGAAGUCCCAUGCGGAUGGAGCAUAGAGUGGUCGCAGAGAAGAGGCCCAAGCGACUGUUUACCAUAAACACAGGUGCCUGCUAAAGCGAAAGCUGACGUAUAGGUGCUGACACCUGCCCAGUGCCGGAAGGUUAAGGAAGGAUGUUCGGAUUAGUCCAAAGCAUUCGACUGAAGCCCCGGUGAACGGCGGCCGUAACUAUAACGGUCCUAAGGUAGCGAAAUUCCUUGUCGGGU